ACUCCUACGGGAGGCAGCAGUGGGGAAUAUUGGACAAUGGGCGCAAGCCUGAUCCAGCCAUGCCGCGUGAGUGAUGAAGGCCCUAGGGUUGUAAAGCUCUUUUGUGCGGGAAGAUAAUGACGGUACCGCAAGAAUAAGCCCCGGCUAACUUCGUGCCAGCAGCCGCGGUAAUACGAAGGGGGCUAGCGUUGCUCGGAAUCACUGGGCGUAAAGGGUGCGUAGGCGGGUCUUUAAGUCAGGGGUGAAAUCCUGGAGCUCAACUCCAGAACUGCCUUUGAUACUGAAGAUCUUGAGUUCGGGAGAGGUGAGUGGAACUGCGAGUGUAGAGGUGAAAUUCGUAGAUAUUCGCAAGAACACCAGUGGCGAAGGCGGCUCACUGGCCCGAUACUGACGCUGAGGCACGAAAGCGUGGGGAGCAAACAGGAUUAGAAACCCCAGUAGUCCCAUG
rnacentral:rRNA from 1 species